AAGGCACUCCACAGCGGUGGACACAUCAGACUGGAUCGCGACUGCAGAGGGAACAGAAUUGUGCAGUUCUUCUGGACAUAUGUCGACCUAAGAUAUCAACGAAUAUGUACUUCAACGAUUAUCAUCUGAGUCGAUGCUAAGUCAUACCUGUAUGACUUUCACGUUAGACUGAAAACGAGGCGGUUUGCCAAAAUGUAACAUCCAGUUUAAUCGUGCGCCCAAUAACAAUAUAACGUCGCUCUGUUGCAACGCGAAAGUUCUCGCGCUAGAAACGCAUCGUUCAUCCGUAUCCGGUACAACGCCCUUUCCCAUUGGCGUUGGAAGGAAAGGAAUACCAGUCGAAUACACAAGGCUGCGAAUUUCUUUCUCCGCUCUGCCAUAAGCAGCUCCUGCACAUUGUAAACACAAGUUAACCCCUCGCCCUACAACAACGAGCGAGACUCGCGGUGAAGAUUUUCAACGUGAUUCGACAAAUAUACGUAUUACUCGGUUCAUUCGAAUUCAAAUGAAUUAUUAACGACAAAGUAACGAUAUCGAUCAGAGUUGAGAAAUAAAUCAUAGGCCAAGAAAAAUCAACCUUUCCCGAUGAUUAACAGUGGUCUCUUCGCUUUCAUCAGCAAAUUGGCUGCUUCUUGUAUCAAUUGACGGUCGGGAAAUAUCAAUGGCGGCGGAGGGCAACGCGAAACUUUGUAUAUUUUCCCUUCGUCGACGGUCUGCUUCAGCACAGUGGCCGGGAAGUCCAGGUAUACCUGGUCGGCCGUAAGUAGAGAGGCGAACGGCUUUUUCCACGUGAAGCGGUAUCAGCGCGGCCAGCGGCGGUCUGGCGGCGUAUUUGCAAUUGGGUUUACUGGCUUCUACCUGUGGCCACUCCUGGAACCCGCCGAUACCCUCAUGAUCCUCGGGGCAGGAUCCACCAACUACAAUGAGUGGCCUAAACAAAAAUGAACGGUGAGCGAGAGGAUCCGGACGAUGCUCACCAGCAGUUCACUUGAGCAUUGGCCAUUCCGCCGAUAACGUGGAGCAAUCCUGGCCCGGAAACACACAGCACGACCGCUGGUUUUCCUAAUUGAAAUAAAGGAGAGAUAAGAAUCUCGGCUCAAUUUAGAUAAAAUGGUUUAAACUCGCGUUUAAACAGCAAUCGUGCGAGAGGAUAACGAUUAUUUCUGUUAUGUUUUUCAAGUCAACCGCUCGGUUUUGCGCGCACGUUCUUGUUUGCGCUCGUGUUUAUGGCCCUUGUCCCGUGUCCUUACUCACUGGUCAGAUAUCCGUAUGCCUGGGCGGCGUAGCAGGCAGCCUGCUCGUUUCGGAAACCGAGGUAUUGAAGACCCACGGCCUGCAUCUGUAGCGCUAGGUCGAUCACAGGGUGUCCCAUGAUUCCGAAGACAUACUCCACGCCCUGUGAAACAAUUGGAAAAUGUCAGAAUGAAAUAAAUGUUACUUUAUUAACGCUAGGUUCACGGGCAUUUA